GGUCGGAUAGCAUAGUGGUUAGCGCUCCGGUGUCGCAUUCGCAAGGUCGCUGGUUCGAGUCCAGUGAAUAACA